ACGAACGCUGGCGGCGUGCUUAACACAUGCAAGUCGAACGGAAAGGCCCUGCUUGCAGGGUGCUCGAGUGGCGAACGGGUGAGUAACACGUGGGUGAUCUGCCCCUUACUUUGGGAUAAGCCUGGGAAACUGGGUCUAAUACUGGAUAGGACCAUGCUGUAGGUGGUGUGGUGGAAAGAUUAGUUUCGGUAAGGGAUGAGCUCGCGGCCUAUCAGCUUGUUGGUGGGGUAAUGGCCUACCAAGGCGUCGACGGGUAGCCGGCCUGAGAGGGUGGACGGACACAUUGGGACUGAGAUACGGCCCAGACGCCUACGGGAGGCAGCAGUGGGGAAGAGUGCACAAUGGGCGCAAGCCUGAUGCAGUGACGCCGCGUGGGGGAUGACGGCCUUCGGGUUGUAAACUCCUUUCAGCCAUGACGAAGCCCUUGUGGUGACGGUAGUGGUAGAAGAAGCACCGGCUAACUACGUG
rnacentral:rRNA from 1 species